UUCUGGUUAGUUUAGUGGCUAUGACGGCGCCUUGUCAUUUGAUGUUCAAGUGCGCUCGGCGCAGACCCGGGUUCAAUUCCCGGACCGGAAG